CAGUCGCCGCGGGAAUACGGAGGGAGCUAGCGUUGUUCGGAAUUACUGGGCGUAAAGCGCACGUAGGCGGCUUUGUAAGUUAGAGGUGAAAGCCUGGAGCUCAACUCCAGAAUUGCCUUUAAGACUGCAUCGCUUGAAUCCGGGAGAGGUGAGUGGAAUUCCGAGUGUAGAGGUGAAAUUCGUAGAUAUUCGGAAGAACACCAGUGGCGAAGGCGGCUCACUGGACCGGCAUUGACGCUGAGGUGCGAAAGCGUGGGGAGCAAACAGGAUUAGAUACCCGGGUAGUCCCUGUCUCUUAUAC
rnacentral:rRNA from 1 species